UAGAAACAAUAGUAAUAAAUGAAGAUAAUGUAAGUGAUGAAGCAUUAAGUUUGCAGGUGGUUAAUGAAGAGAUCAUUGCCAUGGAUAGUGUGAGUGUGCAGGAGGUGAUUGAAAAGGUAACAAUCGAAGACAACGUAAGUAUACCCGGAGGCAAGAGAAAAUAUUUCGAUGAAACAGAGACUGUGGUAAGCGCGUCUCAAAAAAGGGCGCGAAUGACCAGUUCUUCUGAAAAGAAUGUACAUGAUCACCCAUAUUGUGUAAAGUCUCCUCGUAGAGUGAGAAGUCAAGUUGAUGAUCUAAUAAAUAAAGUUGAAAAUUUACAGAAGAGAUUAAAGACAUCUCAGAAGAAAACCAAUAGAAGGAAUAAGAAGGUUAGCACGUUGACUGCAGUGGUAAGUGAAUUGAGAGAAAAAAAUCUGAUCAAUAGUGAUUGUGUGACUAUUCUAGAAUCAACUUUUUCUGGAGUUCCAAAGGAACUUAUGAAGAGGUUGGUGACGCAAAAGAAAAAGAAAAAUCUUGGGGCGUAUCCACCUGAGCUAAGGUCAUUUGCCCUGACCUUGAAAUUUUAUUCAACUAAAGCGUAUAACUAUGUGCGAAAAAGUUUUGAUUUAGGGCUGCCACAUGUAAACGUGAUUCGGUCAUGGUAUAGUUCGAUGAAUGGCGAGCCAGGUUUUACAAAGGAUGCGCUGACAGCUCUGAAAGCCAAAGUUCUAGCUGCAAAAAGAGAUAACCAAGAAGUUGUUUGUGCACUAAUGCUCGAUGAGAUGGCCAUACGCAAACAUGUUGAAUGGGAUGGUAAGCAGUUCCGUGGUUAUGUUGACCUUGGCACAGGCAUCAAUGACGACUCGCUGCCCGAAGCAACAGAUGCUCUUGUUUUUAUGGCAGUCUCGGUGAACUCCGGUUGGAAAGUACCAUGCGGAUAUUUUCUAGUGAAUGGUCUUACCGGAGAGCAGAAAGCAAACUUGACCAAAGAAUGCAUAACCAAGUUGCACGAAGUGGGGGUGAAGGUGGUGUCUUUUACCUGUGAUGGGCCCACGUCUCACCAGGCGAUGUUGAAAUUGCUCGGCGCUCAACUGUCACCUGAUAACUUGCAAGCGUACUUCCAACAUCCAUGUGACCCGAAAGCAAAGAUCUACAUCUUCCUAGAUGCUUGUCACAUGAUAAAGUUGGUAAGAAAUACCAUGUCGGACUGGAAGGUCCUAAAGGAUAAGGAUGGCAACGCCAUCAAGUGGCAAUUCGUGGAAGAAUUGCAUAAAUUACAAGAGUCAGAGGGCUUACAUCUUGCCAAUAAGCUCCGAUCCGCUCAUAUCAAAUGGAAGCCACAGAAAAUGAAGGUAAACCUAGCAGCACAGGCACUCAGUUCGAGUGUUGCAGAUGCCUUGGAAUAUUGUGAAGGUAAGCUGAAAUUGCCACAAUUUCAAGGGUGUGGUCCAACAGUUCAAUGCAUUCGUGUUUUUGAUCAUCUUUUUGAUGUUCUGAAUUCCAGGAAUCCGUUGGCGAGAAAUUUCAAGGCGCCAAUUAGAAGAUCAAACUAUCAGUACACAAAGAGGUUUCUCGAUGAGGCAAGUGAGUACAUUCGAAAUCUAAAAGGUCCUGAUGGCCAGUCGAUCCUUACGUCAAAAAGGAAAACAGGAUUUCUUGGUUUCCUUUUGUGUAUCAAUGC
rnacentral:lncRNA from 1 species